CCUCAAAUCAGGUAGGGGUACCCGCUGAACUUAAGCUAUAAAAAGGGGGGGGGAGAAAAAAAA
rnacentral:rRNA from 1 species